rnacentral:lncRNA from 1 species
CUGGCUAACUGCACAUGGUCACACUGUUUUUUCAGAUCCCACUUCCUGUCCCACCCAGCCCCAAAUGUCCGUGGAACCGGCCCCACUAACCUGCAUCCAGCUGCCUCUUCCACCUGGGCCCUGCUCUCAGAUGGAAGUGUCACCAAACACCCAGAUCGCCGUGCUCCUGCUUCUCUGGAGUGGACACAACCUGAAAACCAACUGGACUGAGCAUCCUUCUCCUAAAAUCUCAGCCAGAAGCCACGAUGGAGGGUCCUGGGAAGGGAAGAGAUGUGAAGAUUUCUGUGAUUCUAAAACCUUGGGUCUGCCUGCAAACUUCUCUCUGAUCCCAGCCGAGAGCUGUGCACACGCUAGCUAGCCCUGUCACACAAUAGCCCAGUGUUCCCGUCACAGUGCCUGGGAAUGAGAGGCUUUUGAGGCCACAGAGCUAUGACAAGUCCCCAGGUUGAAUUGACUCUGGGAGGACAAAUUUCUGAGAGACUCACGGGACCCUUAUCCAGGACAACCUCACAAAGAUCCCUGAAACUGAGCUUCCUCUGCUUCGUGCAUAGUUUGAGGUAUAAACUUUCCUUGUGUCUCGGUCAGAUGAAGUGAAGGAUGAAUAUUAUCCCAGGCUAAAGUAACGAAAAGUCCAGAAGCCAGCGAUGACAGAGAUGUGUGUGGAAGAAGGCUGUGAGCAUUUCCAUCAAACCCUGUGAGUUUCCGAAGAUCUUAUCCCGAAGAUAUGUGUUUGGCCAAUAAAACACUGAAUAAAAAUCCAUCAUGUUUCCAGAGCCAAGUCGACUUCUGCUGGGCUGGGGUGAGGCAGAGGCAGAAUCAGACCUUAUAAAGAUGUUUUGAAUAGCGGCUGUUCUGGGAUCGCAGCCCAGUGACAGUGAAUGCUUUCUGAGUUCUCGGAUGAGAAGGAACAGAGUGACAGACUGACCAUAACUGGCCACUGUGGUGUGUGCUCAGCUCCAGACCAGCACCUUAUUUGGUGGGGGGAGAGGGUUCAAGGCCCCAGCGAGACAGUGAGUCCUGGUAGGGAAGGAACUCUGGCCAAGCUGCAGGCUGUGCAGUGGAGUGGGUUAGGAGGGGCCCUCGGGGAGGGAAGAACAAGGAGAGAGGGAAGUGAGAGGAAAGGAGGUUUCUCCUUCAUCUAAAUCCCAAGUAUACACCCUUCUAAGGUCUGUUCUGGCCCUUCCCUAGGGAGUGCCUUCCCCUCUACCUGCCAGGUCCCAUAGAUAAGGAUGUCCUCCCCUGCAGGCGCCUGGCCUCCAUCACAGCAUGCCCACUCUGUGCCCGCUGCAACCUCCUCUGACUCUCCCACUAGACCGGUGCCUGGUACACAUGCUCCUGCGUGCAUGAACAUCGGUCAGCUAUGGGUCCUCAAGAUGACAAAACCCCCUGCUCCUGUGUCCUCACGGGGAUCUGCACCAGCACUGGGCUGAACACUCUCCCUGCAAUCUGUCAGUCACGUCUUCUGUAGCAUUUUCUUUCUGGCAACAACGGUUGGGGUCAUUAAAAGUGUCUUUGAAAUGCAACCUUUUAA